CUACGGGUCGCUCCAGUGGGGAAUAUUGCAUAAUGGGCGCAAGCCUGAUGCAGCCAUGCCGCGUGUAUGAAGAAGGCCUUCGGGUUGUAAAGUACUUUCAGCGGGGAGGAAGGGAGUAAAGUUAAUACCUUUGCUCAUUGACGUUACCCGCAGAAGAAGCACCGGCAAACUCCGUGCCAGCAGCCGCGGUAAUACGGAGGGUGCAAGCGUUAAUCGGAAUUACUGGGCGUAAAGCGCACGCAGGCGGUUUGUUAAGUCAGAUGUGAAAUCCCCGGGCUCAACCUGGGAACUGCAUCUGAUACUGGCAAGCUUGAGUCUCGUAGAGGGGGGUAGAAUUCCAGGUGUAGCGGUGAAAUGCGUAGAGAUCUGGAGGAAUACCGGUGGCGAAGGCGGCCCCCUGGACGAAGACUGACGCUCAGGUGCGAAAGCGUGGGGAGCAAACAGGAUUAGAUACCCGUGUAGUC
rnacentral:rRNA from 1 species